UGGAAAACGAAAGGGUGGGGG
rnacentral:piRNA from 1 species